rnacentral:rRNA from 1 species
AGAGUUUGAUCAUGGCUCAGGAUAAACGCUGGCGGCGUGCCUAAUCAAUGCGAGUCGCACGGACCUUCGGGUCAGUGGCGUCCGGGUGAGUAACGCGUAGCUAACCUGCCCAGAGGUGGGGGAUACCCGCCAGAAAUGGCGGCUAAUACCGCAUAGCGUGACGGGGGGCAACCCCUGGCACGAAAGCAGAGAUGUGCCUGUGGAGGGGGCUGCGUCCGAUUAGCCUGACGGUGGGGUAACGGCCUACCGUGGCGACGAUCGGUAGCUGGUCUGAGAGGAUGGUCAGCCACACUGGGACUGAGACAUGGUCCAGAGCUCUACGGGGUUUAGCAUGAAGGGAUAUUGCGCAAUGGGCGAAAGCCUGACGCAGCAACGCCGCGUGUGGGACGACGCCUUUCGGGGUGUAAACCUCUUUUAGCAGGGAAGAAGCGAAAGUGACGGUACCUGCAGAAAAAGCGCCGGCUAACUACGUGCCAGCCGCCGCGGUAAUAC